UGUAAAUGGACUGCGUUAGGUUGGUCCUGUGUAAUGUAUUGAUUGCGUCAUGUAAGGUUGAAGAGCACCUAUUAUGCUUUUUCAACUUUUAUGACCCAUAAACGUUGUUAUAAUGAUUUAUAUGUUUAACAUGUUUAACGAUACUAAAGUGUCAAAUAAUGACGUACAUGCAUUUAGACGCAUUCCCUGCUGCCCGUCUGGGAUGGCUGUACAGAACGCUAAACACUAUGGACGCCGGACGCGAUUCACUUGUUCAAAUUUCCAGGAUUUAUCUCCGUAGAACAAUCCGGAUUUUCCCAUGUAUGGUAAUGCUGCAACAUGCUCUUCCGGAAGGUAACCAAUCACAACGGAGUGGGGUUGGCAGGAGGGGGAUGAGAGGAAGAGUUUCCCGAAAAUCGACAUCGUUUUUUGUGCUGUGAUUCGUGUCAGGUUGCUCUAUAGGAGUCAUUAAUAAGAAAUUAAGACCAGAAAAGUAGUAUAAUAGGAGAUCUUUAAG